CCUUUCCCCUGCGGACUCUACCCGGGCUGCCGUGUCCCAGCCGAGCUCCGGACACGUGCUGAGGGGCCAGCUGUGGACUUUGGGAAGAUGCAGCUCCAGGAUGACUUGAAAGUAGGGCAUCCAUGGGCUUCCCUGGUGGCGCAGUGGUUAGGAAUCCGCCUGCCAACGCAGGGGACACGGGUUCGAGCCCUGGUCUGGGAAGAUCCCACAUGCCGCGGAGCAACUAAGCCCGUGCGCCACAACUACUGAGCCCGCGAGCCACAGCCACUGAAGCCCGUGCACCUAGAGGUCGUGCUCUGCAGCAAGAGAAGCCACCGCAAUGAGAAGCCCGCGCACCGCAACUAGAGAAAGCCCGCGCGCAGCAACAAAAACCCAACCUAACCAAAAAUAAAUAAAUAAAUAAAUUUUCAAAAAAAAAAAAAAAAGAAAGUAGGGCAUCCUUGGCCCUCCUGAAGAGAGGAAAUUAGUGGCAGAUGGACAGUCUGUAUGGAGUUAUCAGAUGUCUUUACCUGAGUGAGAAACCUUCCUCCACUGGGACCUCAGAUGUCUGACAGCCCUUUGUGACACCAAGAUAAGUAAUCCAAUUACAGGGACUUCCCUGGUGGUGCAGUGGUUGGGAGUCCGCCUGCCAAUGCAGGGGACACGGGUUCGAUCCCUGGUCCAGGAGGAUCCCACAUGCCGUGGAGCAACUGGGCCCGUGUGCCACAACUACUGAGCCCACGUGCUGCAACUACUGAAGUCCCGCGCCUAGAGCCUGUGCUCUGCAACAAGAGAAGCCACUGCAAUGAGAAGCCCCUGCUCGCCGCAACUAGAGAAAGCCCGCACGCAGCAACAAAGACCCAACACAGCUAAAAAUAAUGAAUAAAUAAAUAAAUUUUUUUAAAAAAGCCAAUUACAGGGCCCUUACAGAGGGCAGGUAAGGGGGAAAUUGAUACUACUGUUUCAUAAGUGCGGAAAAGGAUUAUUUGUGGCAAUCUUUAAUUCACCACAAGCAUAUAUGUGUGUGUGUGUAUAUACAUAUAUAAAUGUUUAUGUUUAUAGGAAAUCCUUAAAAUAUACAAAUGGUUGAUAGUGGUUGCCUUUAUGUAAGGGAGUAGUGGUUGGGGAAAACUCUUUGUUGUGUGCUUUGAAUUUUAUUAUAUGUAUUCCUUAUUCCAAAACUUUUUUUUAAUUUAUUCAUUUAUUUUUGCCCUCGCCGCUACAUGGCUUGUGGGAUCUCCCUGACCAGGGAUCGAAUCCAGGACCCCUGCAGUGGAAGUGUGGAGUCCUAACCACUGGACCACCAGGGAAUUCCCCCAAAACCCUUUUUUAAGCCCACUUCCCCUCCCUUGCCACUGCUGAAAAAGAACCACUGGUUAACAGUUUUCUGUUUUUAAAUAGCCUAAAGUAUUGAAAUGGCCUGGUUCCAGGGCAUUAAAUCUAUUUAAAAAGUAGAUGGUGGACUGCCAGGAGAUUCUGAGACCACAGCUUUGCUGAAGGCAAUCCAGUAUAAUGCUUUAAAGCUCUGGGUUUGGAUUUAUUUAGAACUGGAGUUCAAAUCCUGGCUUUGUCACUCUUUAGCUAUAUGACCUUAGGCAGGCUUUCUUAAUCUCUUACAUAAAACAAGAGUAAUGGUACUUUACUCUCAGAAUUAUAAUGCAUUAUCAGCUACUUUGUGGUGUCAAAAUAUAUGUCCUCAAUCAAUAUGACUCUUCUGCUUAAAACUUUUAAAGGUAUUCAUUAUUAGCUCAAAUGUAGACUGUAUCCUGGUGUUUAAAGCCUUAUUCCAAACUUGUCACUUAGACAUUUCAAAGUCUCAGCAGAAAUACUUGCUUCGUAACCUCUUUAUCAUCCCUGGUGUACCACACCCACUGCCAAGAAACCCAAAUGUGAAUAGAGCUCUUGAUCCAUCUCUUCUCAUAGCCAGGCCCACCUUGAGGCCAGACUCCUUGUCCAAUCUUCAUCAGACUGGGAUCCUCAAGAGCUGGUAAUUUGUCUUAUCCAUCAUUAUAUACCCACCCUUGUACACUGUCUUUCAUGAAAUUGGCAUUUGAUGACUGAAAUCUUGUAUCAAUUUGGUUUCCAAUGUGUCUUUGCUGUUGACCCACUAAGCAGAUCCUCAAUAAAUAAUUACUCAAUUG
rnacentral:lncRNA from 1 species